GUGAGGAAUUUUGCGCAAUGGGGGCAACCCUGACGCAGCAACGCCGCGUGAGUGAAGAAGGCUUUCGGGUCGUAAAACUCUGUCAAGUGGGAAGAAAUCAUUUAUUGGCAAUACCUUUAAGUGUUGACGGUACCACUGAAGGAAGCACCGGCUAACUCCGUGCCAGCAGCCGCGGUAAUACGGGGGGUGCAAGCGUUAUUCGGAAUUAUUGGGCGUAAAGGGCGCGCAGGCGGCCUGUUAAGUCAGAUGUGAAAGCCCGGGGCUUAACCCCGGAAGUGCAUUUGAUACUGGCAGGCUUGAGUAUGGGAGAGGGAAGUGGAAUUCCUGGUGUAGCGGUGAAAUGCGUAGAUAUCAGGAGGAACACCGGUGGCGAAGGCGACUUCCUGGACCAAUACUGACGCUGAGGCGCGAAGGCGUGGGUAGCA
rnacentral:rRNA from 1 species